rnacentral:rRNA from 1 species
CAAAUCUACCUUUCCGUCCGGGAUAACUAGCCGAAAGGUUAGCUAAUACCAGAUGCGCUCAUCGAACGGCAUCGUUUGAUGAUGAAAGCAGCAAUGCGCGGAUUGAGGAGCCUGCGGCCCAUUAGCUAGUUGGUGAGGUAACGGCCCACCAAGGCAACGAUGGGUAGCUGGUCUGAGAGGACGACCAGCCACACUGGGACUGAGACACGGCCCAG